rnacentral:rRNA from 1 species
CUACGGGAGGCAGCAGGCGAGAAAACUUUGCAAUGUGCGAAAGCACGACAAGGUUAAUCCGAGUGGUUUGUGCUAAACGAACCUUUUGACAGUCCUAGAAACACUGUUGAAUAAGGGGUGGGCAAGUUCUGGUGUCAGCCGCCGCGGUAAAACCAGCACCUCAAGUGGUCAGGAUGAUUAUUGGGCCUAAAGCAUCCGUAGCCGGCUCUGUAAGUUUUCGGUUAAAUCUGUACGCUCAACGUACAGGCUGCCGGGAAUACUGCAGAGCGAGGGAGUGGGAGAGGUAGACGGUACUCGGUAGGAAGGGGUAAAAUCCUUUGAUCUAUUGAUGACCACCUGUGGCGAAGGCGGUCUACCAGAACACGUCCGACGGUGAGGGAUGAAAGCUGGGGGAGCAAACCGGAUUAGAUACCCGAGUAGUC